rnacentral:rRNA from 1 species
UGGCGGCCUUAGCGCGGUGGUCCCACCUGAUCCCAUGCCGAACUCAGAAGUGAAAACG